UCCCUGCUCGCUCAGAGGUUAAAGCAUCUGCUUGCAAUGCAGGAGACCUGGGUUUGAUCCCUGGGUCGGGAA
rfam:Ovis aries breed Texel chromosome 4, whole genome shotgun sequence.